rnacentral:snoRNA from 1 species
GACACGCUCCUUAGAUCCACCUCUAGAGGGCGCUGUGCUCUUGAGCUGAGCCCCUCUGCAGCUUUCCGGCUGUACUGUUGGAGGUGCUUGAGUCAUUGGCGUGUAAGAGCAGUCUACCUGUUCACCGGCUUACUCGCGCCACUGGCAACCGUGUCCUCGACAGACAUGGGAUCACCCAGUGUUGCUAGCCAGGUGGACGGACACU